AACGAACGCUGGCGGCGUGGUUUAGGCAUGCAAGUCGAACGGUCUUUCCCGGGUUCGCCUGGGAUUGAUAGUGGCGCAAGGGUGAGUAAUACGUGGGUAAUCUGUCUUUGAGAUCGGGAUAACAUUUCGAAAGAGAUGCUAAUACCGGAAAGACCAUAGAGGCUUCGGCCUCAGCGGUAAAAGAUGGCCUCUCAUUAUGAAGCUACCGCUCGAAGAGGAGCCCGCGUUCUAUUAGCUAGUUGGUAGGGUAAUGGCCUACCAAGGCGAUGAUGGAUAGCUGGUCUGAGAGGAUGGUCAGCCACACUGGGACUGAGACACUGCCCAGACUCCUACGGGAGGCUGCAGUCGAGAAUCUUUCGCAAUGGGGGAAACCCUGACGAAGCGACGCCGCGUGAGUGAUGAAGGCCUUCGGGUUGUAAAGCUCUGUCACUUGGGAUGAAGAUUCUUGACACCAAUAAUGUCAAGGGUUGACAGUACCAAGAGAGGAAGCCCCGGCUAACUCCGUGCCAGCAGCCGCGGUAAUACGGAGGGGGCGAGCGUUGUUCGGAUUUAUUGGGUGUAGAGGGUGUGUAGGCGGUCUUGCGAGUCAGGUGUGAAAUCCCUUGGCUCAACCAAGGAAGUGCACUUGAAACUGCAUGACUUGAGUAUAAGAGAGGAGAGUGGAAUUCCCGGCGUAGAGGUGAAAUUCGUAGAUAUCGGGAGGAACACCGGUGGCGAAGGCGACUCUCUGGCUUAAUACUGACGCUGAAACACGAAAGCUAGGGGAGCGAACGGGAUUAGAUACCCCGGUAGUCCUAGCCGUAAACGAUGGGCACUAGGUGUAGGGGGUUUUAACCUUCUGUGCCGUAGCUAACGCAUUAAGUGCCCCACCUGGGGAGACGGUCGCAAGACU
rnacentral:rRNA from 1 species